rnacentral:lncRNA from 1 species
UUAGUAUUGGGAUUCGCUUUCUCUAUUUGUGAGUUUUGUGAUGAAUGAAGAAAUUGCUUCGAAAAGAUCGUUACUGAGUCAGUAAAUCAAUAACAAUGAUGAAAGAUGGUCAUGAAUUUCAUUUUUUUUUUUUAACCAAAAUGGAAAUACAAUUUAUUUUUUUGUUUUAUUACUAUGUGUGAAGAAAAUACCAAAUUUAACCAAAAG